AUUGAACGCUGGCGGUAGGCCUAACACAUGCAAGUCGAACGCGAAAGUCCUUCGGGAUGAGUAGAGUGGCGGACGGGUGAGUAACGCGUAGGAAUCUAUCCUGUAGUGGGGGAUAACGUUUCGAAAGGAACGCUAAUACCGCAUACGCCCCAAGGGGGAAAGCGGGGGAUCUUCGGACCUCGUGCUAUAGGAGGAGCCUGCGUCGGAUUAGCUAGUUGGUGAGGUAAAGGCUCACCAAGGCGACGAUCCGUAGCUGGUCUGAGAGGAUGAUCAGACACACCGGAACUGAGACACGGGCCGGACUCCUACGGGAGGCAGCAGUGGGGAAUAUUGCGCAAUGGGCGAAAGCCUGACGCAGCCAUACCGCGUGUGUGAAGAAGGCCUUCGGGUUGUAAAGCACUUUCAGUGGGGAGGAAAAGCUGGUGGCUAAUAUCCAUCGGCCGUGACGCUACCCACAGAAGAAGCACCGGCUAAUUCCGUGCCAGCCGCCGCUGUAACAC
rnacentral:rRNA from 1 species